rnacentral:rRNA from 1 species
AUUGAACGCUGGCGGCAGGCUUAACACAUGCAAGUCGAGCGGAGAGAGGUAGCUUGCUACUGAUCUUAGCGGCGGACGGGUGAGUAAUGCUUAGGAAUCUGCCUAUUAGUGGGGGACAACAUUUCGAAAGGAAUGCUAAUACCGCAUACGUCCUACGGGAGAAAGCAGGGGAUCUUCGGACCUUGCGCUAAUAGAUGAGCCUAAGUCGGAUUAGCUAGUUGGUGGGGUAAAGGCCUACCAAGGCGACGAUCUGUAGCGGGUCUGAGAGGAUGAUCCGCCGCACUGGGACUGAGACACGGCCCAGACUCCUACGGGAGGCAGCAGUGGGGAAUAUUGGACAAUGGGCGGAAGCCUGAUCCAGCCAUGCCGCGUGUGUGAAGAAGGCCUUAUGGUUGUAAAGCACUUUAAGCGAGGAGGAGGCUACUUUAGUUAAUACCUAGAGAUAGUGGACGUUACUCGCAGAAUAAGCACCGGCUAACUCUGUGCCAGCAGCCGCAGUAA